rnacentral:rRNA from 1 species
GAUGAACGCUGGCGGCGUGCUUAACACAUGCAAGUCGAACGGAGCUUGGUUGAUAGAGGAUUCGUCCAAUUGACAUCAAGCUUAGUGGCGGACGGGUGAGUAACGCGUGAGGAACCUGCCUUGGAGUGGGGGAUAACACAGUGAAAUUAGUGCUAAUACCGCAUAAUGCAGCUGAGUCGCAUGGCUCUGGCUGCCAAAGAUUUAUCGCUCCGAGAUGGCCUCGCGUCUGAUUAGCUAGUUGGUAGGGUAACGGCCUACCAAGGCGACGAUCAGUAGCCGGACUGAGAGGUUGGCCGGCCACAUUGGGACUGAGACACGGCCCAG